UUGCUUACAUGCUUUUGCUCUAUAAAUAUUUUUGUCAAAAUUAUGAAUCAAUUAUUUUACAAAUUUCAUGGAAAAUCAUGUUUCAAGAAGAGGAUUUGAUGCACAAACGGAAGGAAAACCUUAAGGUAUUUUUUGUCGAAGCAAUAAUGGUUCUGAACAUAUGCUCUGUAUGUCUAACAGUAUUGGCUUUACUAAAGUUGAAACACGAGUUUUUCAAGCUCCCAAGUUGGAUAUCGAAGAGGGAGAGGACUUCAAACCAACAAAAAUGAGAUACCCUUGAAGUGAGGCCAAAUGGGAUACCCUUGAAGAUGUUAUCUUGCAUACGGAUAACUUAUACCAUAGAGUCACAUGACAGAAAUGUCAUAACUUUCUUCCGAAGGUUUUUGAACUGGACCACGAGACAGCAUAUUUGGAACUUUGUCAGUGACUGGAGAUAUUAAACCAGUGUCAAACACAUGACCUAUUACAAAUUUACGUCCAAUGUUCAUGGCUUGAUUCUUUGUUAUUCUCAUUUUCUUUACUCUUUCUGUACAGUUGGACACUAGACGUAUUUUGAAAAGGCUGGCAAAGGAAAAUUUGAAGCAGCUGGGUCGGAUGGUUGCAAAAUUAGCUCAUGCCAACC